UGCUUGGACAUGAUUAUCUUGACGGAAAUUUAUAUUCAAGUGCAGUGCAUCAGUUCAUAUUUUGAAUUAAAAAUAAUUUGAAUUGGCAUAAAUAAUCAGUCUUCGUUCAGCAUAAUAUAUACAAAGAAGAUUCAAAUACGACUUAAUAAGAAGACUCAAAUUGAACACAUUGUUAAAGUUGAACUUGUAAAUCUUGAAGAAACUUUUCCAGAAAAUGUUUAAAAGAUGCAAUGACUUGAUAAUUAAGGUCUAGGAAGGACAAAAAAUAGACAUAAUAAGGAUGUCUUAUGGUUCGACUGUUAUGCCAGUUUUUAUCACUGCUGUGUGGACUAAUCAUUGCAGCAAUGACUUCAUUAAUACCAAGAAAUGAUGGAAUUUGUUUUUAUGGCUGAAUAAUGAGAUUACAAAAGUAAACAGUGUAGCUCUCUCUGAGUAUACUCUGAAUUAUCUGGGUAUGUUGGUUAUUUGUCUUGCGAUAUUUAUAUAGGCAAACAGCAUUAAAAUUUGGAGAUCUAAAGUCAACAGUGUGUGUUGGAACCAUGUUUGCAUAUGGGGAUAUUUUAUAAUGAUAGGUAAUGAAAAAGACAAAAAAGUUGUACCAAUUAAUGAAUGAAAUUUUUGUGCAGUUUAUUAGGAAAUUGUAAAGAAUUGUUUAUUGUGCUCAGCUAUGUUCAUAAUUUUAGUGUUUCUGUUGAAAGAACAGAUAAGUAAGCAAGAUAAGUGUCUGGGAAAAUCAUAUACAGAUAGCUGGUUUUGCAUAUUGUGAUAAUAUGAGUUUUCAAUUUACUUGAUCACGCAUAUUGGGUCAUUUUGCAUUACCUGUAAUGUAUGAAAGUAAUGUGCAGAGUGAAAAAAAAUUUCAAAAUCAAAUAUUUGUCAUUUGUCUUAUCUAUUGAUUUAGGUAGGUCUAUUGAUCCUUGUUAUGAUCUUCAAACUUUGAAAUGUUUUAUUUAAUAUGGUAAGAAAAAUAUUCACCCUCAUAAGUUUCUGCAUGCCUGUACAUAAUCGUGUGUGGCUAGGGCCUGGUAGAUAGUGCUUGUGGAUUAAGUUUCACACUGCCUGUUAGGAUUUCGGAUGAGCCUCAAAUAUCUGGGUAACCUGCAUGCAAACAUUUACUUAGAACAAAUAACCUGGGGGUUAGGGACGAGAUUUACCAUUUUUAGCUAGGUGCCUGAUAGGUUCACACUAGUAUCACUCGCACGGUGUGGAAGUUAUGGACAUCUCAAUGAGAAAGGAUUUUUUUUUGAGGGGGCAGAAAUUGUGAGGAACUGCAUAUUGUUACAGCUGUGAACGUCUCUUAAGAAUGGAUUAGAAAGUUAAGUUGUGAGGAUUUUUGUGAUUUUAUAAGAUCUGACUCUGUUUUUGUGGAAGGAUUAGAAUGGAUGGUUUUGUAUUACGAAAAUUUUAACCUUAUAAGUUACUUGUAUGAAAUUUGAGAAUAUGUAGUUCAAGAAGAUGAAAUAAUUGGUCAUUUGGUUUAAAAGAAAUGUACUUCCUGCCUCUUCUUAACAGAAUGAUAUGCUACUCUUUAAAUCUUGCAUUACUGUGGUAAAAAAAAAAACCACCCUGUCCAAGUUCAGGGAGUUGUAUUUUCAGUUUCAUUUUUCAUUUUUUAAUCAUUAAAAAGAGAUCUGGCUCCUUGUACAAUUUGAAGUAUAUAUGGAUCCUGAUAAGGUGGUUAUAAGGUUGUAAAUCUGAGAGGUCUGUAAAAAACAAUUGAGCGUGGGUAGACAGGGUAUUUCUUGUCUUUGGAGAAAGAUAUAAGAUCUUGAGUGGCUAUUGCAACAAAAGAUUUGAAUUUGUUUGUUUAAAGUGCUUAUUGGUUUGAAUGCUUUCAUUUUUACUUACAACUAGUUGCAUUGAUGGGGUGUAUUUGAAAGGAGGGAGAUGUGUCUGGAAGAGACUGCUUUUCGAAGGAAAAUGGUUGUAUUUGGUAGAGGUGUGCUUGGAAUAAUGUCAUGUACAAGGUCUUCAGAAGGAGAUUGCAGGUGUAUUUGAAUGGGAAAGGGGCAUAUUUCAAAACGAAAAAAAAACGGGUGUAUUUGGAGUGGAGAGAGUUUUAUCUCAUCGUUAAUUGCCGGGUGAGAUUCAACUCCUCCAACUGCACACUACGCCAGCUUGCAGCUCAUGGACUUUUCUUCACAUCAAUACUGCGGGGCAGUUUUCUUCACAUCAAUACUGCGGGGCAGUUUUCUUCACAUCAAUACUGCGGGGCAGUUUUCUUCACAUCGAUACUGUGGGGCAGUUUUCUUCACAUCGAUACUGCGGGGCAGUUUUCAUAUCUACACUGUCUUUUUUGAUUCCUCAAUUGCAAUAUGACUGUGAAUAUUUGCCCUCUACUUAGUACAUAAGAUUAAAGAGUUACAGGUAUACUCAGUGUGUAAAGGUACACCUCAAGUUUGAAGCCUACUUGCAGUAUCAGAUAGAUAUUAUUAAUUAUGGACAAUCCACACUUAGCAUGUGAUAGGACGCAACCUUUACCCACCAGUGAGAUAUGUGCUCUAGAUGGAAUGAUCUGAUAACUGAUAAACCCUUGGCCUGUAUAACAAGAUUGGACUUGUCCGGAACGCCGUUGCCUGGGAAAGCUGGUCGUGUGAUUAGGGGGGUGUUUGUGUGCAGAUCCAAUGUGUACCAUCAUCCAAUCUCCCACUUAAACGAGGACCACUGAGCUAAAAAGUCUGCUAUCUACUGGCCCCGAUAAAGCUUGACAAAUACUGGAAGUGAAGCAGUAUAGGUACAUUAUAUACAGAGCUGCCUGUGAUCUUGUCCCAACACGGAAUAAAAUGAAAGUAGAACAAUUGCAGAAAAUAUGUCGCAUUGUAGUAGAUAUAUGUGUAUUUGUCUAGUUGUUAUUCAAAUUAAACAUUCAAUUCUU